rnacentral:lncRNA from 1 species
GGCCCUCCGCGGGCGCGGAGCGGCGUCGGAGCCUCGCGCCCUCCCGCCGGCUGGUGCUGCCAGGCGCUGGCGGUGCUGCUCUCCCUCCCCCGGCGUGCGUGUCCGCCCGUGUGCGGAGUGUGCCGCCUGUGUGUAUGUGUUUUGUUGGGAAUGCAAAAAAAAAAAAAAAAAAAAAAAAAAAAAAAAAAAAAAAAAAGAGGGAAAAAAAAAGAAAAAAGAAACCGCCGCGCACACCGGCUGCUUUGGAGAGAAGGGAGUGCGAAGGGAGCCCUCCCUCACAUGAUCGCGGAGUGGCCUGCACAGAAGUGCUAAUAACGCAGGGAGGGGUGGGGGUGAAAGCAGCGGAGGGGGAACGGCAACAAAAAAAGUGCGGCGGGAUGCGCCGGGCCGUGCCCCGCUCCGCCCGCGCCUCCCCCGGCCGGUCCCCGGCGGAGCGGGCGCUGUGGGUCGCGGCGGACGGCAGCUCCACCUGCUAUGUAAACAAACCGUCGGGGAAGUUGUUUGCUGGCGGCGGCUUCCCCUUCCCGCCCCCUCUCCCCUCCCGCCGCCCCGCUCCGCCGGCUCCGUUAGACACAACGAGUUUAGCAGACGGGCGGAAAACAAAGCCGUGUGUUGUGCUGGCAGUGCCGGCCGGCUGCAGCCUGCUGGCAGCCCCCGAGGUGCAGCGGCCCCGCGCGAAGGCAGCCCAGGGAACCCGAGUGGGAGGGGGACGGCGGGGCAGGCCUGGCCGCUGGCAGCAGCUCUGCCGAGGAGGCACGCGUGGGCCCUUAAACUUUUUUCCUCCCUGGCUCCGGAACUUGAAGCAAGGUGCAGGAUCCCCCCCAGAUAUCCGCAGCGGGGACCAGCCGCUCCUCGCCUGUCUGGAACGACCGCCCGUCCCUGGGGCUGCCGAUCCCCCCGGAAAAAACACUUUUAAGAUUGUUUAGGAAGCAAACAAGAACACAGACUGCUCUUCGAACUAGGUGCACUCCCUUUCCUCCCUGCGUACUGCUCCAAGACACUUGGGAAGGAGCAGAAAAUGCUGGUUUUAACCGAAGUCAAGUCGAGGAGGAUCUGUAUUGCAACAUCAAAGAAAAGGAGACGUUACAAAAUUGGUGGAGUUACACCACCAUCUGUCGUUAAGCUUCGGGACUACAAAAGUUCAGACGUAUAAUAAAUCUUAAUGAGAGAUGGCA